CGGCAGACGGGUGAGUAACGCGUGGGAACGUACCUUUUGGUUCGGAACAACACAGGGAAACUUGUGCUAAUACCGGAUAAGCCCUUACGGGGAAAGAUUUAUCGCCGAAAGAUCGGCCCGCGUCUGAUUAGCUAGUUGGUGAGGUAACGGCUCACCAAGGCGACGAUCAGUAGCUGGUCUGAGAGGAUGAUCAGCCACAUUGGGACUGAGACACGGCCCAAACUCCUACGGGAGGCAGCAGUGGGGAAUAUUGGACAAUGGGCGCAAGCCUGAUCCAGCCAUGCCGCGUGAGUGAUGAAGGCCCUAGGGUUGUAAAGCUCUUUUGUGCGGGAAGAUAAUGACGGUACCGCAAGAAUAAGCCCCGGCUAACUUCGUGCCAGCAGCCGCGGUAAUACGAAGGGGGCUAGCGUUGCUCGGAAUCACUGGGCGUAAAGGGUGCGUAGGCGGGUCUUUAAGUCAGAGGUGAAAUCCUGGAGCUCAACUCCAGAACUGCCUUUGAUAC
rnacentral:rRNA from 1 species